rnacentral:rRNA from 1 species
GGAGUUUGGUCCGUGUCUCAGUACCAAUGUGGGGGACCUUCCUCUCAGAACCCCUACUGAUCGUUGCCCCGGUGGGCCGUUACCCCGCCGGCAAGCUAAUCAGACGCAUCCCCAUCCCUUACCGAUGAAUCUUUGCUCCUCGUUAGAUGCCUGCUAAGGAGAACAUAGAGUAUUAAUCCGACUUUCGCCGGGCUAUCCUCUAGUAAGGGGAAGGUUGGAUACGCGUUACUCACCCGUGCGCCGGUCGCCGACAAGGAAAGCAAGCUUUCCUCUCGCUGCCCCUCCGACUUGCAUGUGUUAAGCCUGUUAGCUAGCGUUCAUC